GGGGGCUGCUGUUGAUUGCAAUAGCCAAAGCAAUCGUUAAGCUGCUGCUACGAAAGGUUGUGACUCUGGGACAUGUGCAGGUCAUAGUGGAUGGCUUUGCUGCAAUGGGUUUCCCUAACUGCGGUGGAGCGAUAGAUGAAACCCAUAUCCCUGUCUUGGCACCGGAGCACCAGGGCACCUAGUACAUAAACCGCAAGGGGUACUUUUUCAAUGGUGCUGCAAGCACUGGU